rnacentral:lncRNA from 1 species
UGAUUUGAUAUUCUUGAAUUUGAUUUUGAAUUGAUGACCUUCGUCUUUGUUAUCAGUCCACUACGACCGUCUAUGAUUCUUUCGAAUUUUUAUUUGUGAACGUUCCAGAGUAUUACCUCAACGUUCUGAUAGCUCCAGAGUAUUACCUCAACUAUCAACACUAAAAUUCUAAGAUUUUAGGAGAAAUGAAAAACUUCAUUCAAACUUAAUUUCAUUCUGAUUACAAACGAGCAUCAAGGCUCUUAUUUAUAGCGGAGUAGGACUCACAAGUAGUUCAUAUGUCCCUAUCCGUGACAGCUAUUAAAGCAAAAGAAAAAACGCACUAAAGAAAACGGACAAACAAUAAUUUACAUAAAGUAGAUGCCUUAGUGAUAGGGCAGUCUUAUCCGACCCUACAUAGUGGGUGGCUGCUUUUCUUUGUCUGCCACUACAUUGUGAUGUGUUGUUUUCCACUAAGUGCUUCUUUGUCGUUUUGUGCCGACGAUUUUGGCGGACAGAUUUCACACACAUGUCCUUUGUAACUUUGUGUAAAAUUUCUACACAGUUCUUCUCUAAUUACCAUGGGUAGUUUUGUGUAGUCUUCCUUUAGCUGGUCAACUCUUUCUUCAAAAUUUUUAAUAGCCUGUAAAUCUUUCUCCUUGGCUGGCUUUCUGGAAUCGCUGUAAACGACUGUUGA